rnacentral:tRNA from 5 species
GCGCACGUGGCGUAAUUGGUAGCCGCGCCAGACUUAGGAUCUGGUGUCUUACGACGUGGGGGUUCGAGUCCCUUCGUGCGCA